GUGCUCGCUUUGGCAGCACAUAUACUAAAAUGGAAACGAUACAGAGAUUAGCAUGGUCCCUGCACAAGGAUGACAUGUAAAUAUGUGAAGCGUUCCAUAUUUUU